GUCUAAAUAAUAUAAAUAUUAUAUUUAACUUCCAAUUAAAAAAUCCACUGGGUUUAGAUA
rnacentral:tRNA from 1 species